GCUGGUGGCGAUGCGCUUAGGGGGCACACCCGUACCCAUCCCGAACACGAUGGUUAAGACCUAAGCGGCCGAUGGUACUGCACUGGAGACGGUGUGGGAGAGCAG
rnacentral:rRNA from 1 species